UACAGCAGCCAUGUCACCCUGCAGCUCUCAACUGGCUACCCACUGAAGCUCAGCAGGGUUGAUCCUGGUUGGUACCUGGAUGGGAGACCUCCUGGGAAGCUAUGGUUGCUGCUGGAA
rnacentral:rRNA from 1 species